GUCGAACGAAGUCUUCGGACUUAGUGGCGCACGGGUGAGUAACAUGUGGGAAUCUACCUAAAGGUUCGGAAUAACUGCGGGAAACUGUAGCUAAUACCGGAUGUGUCCGCAAGGAGAAGGAUUUAUUGCCUUUAGAUGAGCCCGCACUAGAUUAGCUUGUUGGUGAGGUAACUGCUCCACCAAGGCUACGAUCUAUAGCUGAUUUGAGAGGAUGAUCAGCCACACUGGGACUGAGACACGGCCCAGACUCCUACGGGAGGCAGCAGUCGGGAAUAUUGGACAAUGGGGGCAACCCUGAUCCAGCAAUGCCGCGUGAGUGAAGAAGGCCCUCGGGUUGUAAAACUCUUUCAUCAAUGAAGAUAAUGACAUUAAUUGAAGAAGAAGCUCCGGCUAACUCCGUGCCAGCAGCCGCGGUAAUACGGAGGGGGCUAGCGUUGUUCGGAAUUACUGGGCGUAAAGCGUAUGUAGGCGGAUCAAAAAGUUAGAUGUGAAAUCCCUGGGCUUAACCUAGGAACUGCAUUUAAAACUAGUGAUCUAGAAUUUGGUAGGGGUUAGUAGAAUUUCCAGUGUAGAGGUGAAAUUCGUAGAUAUUGGAAAGAAUACCAGUGGCGAAGGCGACUAACUGGGCCAUUUUUGACGCUGAGAUACGAAAGCGUGGGUAGCAAACAGGAUUAGAUACCCUGGUAGUCCACGCAGUAAACGAUGAGUGCUAGUCGCUGGGUCAAUAGAUUCAGUGUCGAAGCUAACGCAUUAAGCACUCCGCCUGGGAAGUACGGUCGCAGGAUUAAAACUCAAAUAAAUUGACGGGGGCCCGCACAAGCGGUGGAGCAUGUGGUUUAAUUCGAAGCAACGCGAAGAACCUUACCAGACCUUGACAUGGUAUGUUUGAAUUACAGAAUCGU
rnacentral:rRNA from 1 species